AGUGAACGCUGGCGGUAGGCCUAACACAUGCAAGUCGAACGGCAGCACAGUAAGAUUUUGCUCUUACGGGUGGCGAGUGGCGGACGGGUGAGGAAUACAUCGGAAUCUACUUUUUCGUGGGGGAUUACGUAGGGAAACUUACGCUAAUACCGCAUAUGACCUACGGGUGAAAGCAGUGGAUCUUCGGACCUUUCGCGUUUGUAUUAGCCGAUGUCGGAUUAGCUAGUUGGCGUGGUAAAGGCCCACCAAGGCGACGAUCCGUAGCUGGUCUGAGAGGAUGAUCAGCCACACUGGAACUGAGACACGGUCCAGACUCCUACGGGAGGCAGCAGUAGGGAAUAUUGGACAAUGGGCGCAAGCCUGAUCCAGCCAUGCCGCGUGAGUGAAGAAGGCCUUCGGGUUGUAAAGCCCUUUUGUUGGGAAAGAAAAGCAGCGGGUGAAUACCCCGCUGUUCUGACGGUACCCAAAGAAUAAGCAACGGCUAACUUCGUG
rnacentral:rRNA from 1 species